UACGAGAGGGGUAAGCAUUAUUCAUCAUUAAUGGGUCUAAAGGGUACGUAGGCUGUAUCAUAAGACUGGAAGAUAUCGAACUAAAUGAAUAAGAGUUUUUCAGUAACUAUGAAACUAGAGUGUAAUGGAGGAAAGAGGAACUCCGAGAGUAGGGAUGGAAUCUGUUGAUCCUCGGAAGACCGCUUAAGGCGAAGGCUUCUUUCUAACUAAACACUGACGCUGAGGUACGAAAGUAUGGGGAGCAAAACGG
rnacentral:rRNA from 1 species